CAAAAGCGACGGCAGAAAAAUACGGCGCGUCGGCAUUCUCGCCAGUGUGCGCUGUCAGACUUGCUGCGCCAGCGAGGAACCAUGAUUGAUGGCGGGGCCGCGUCGUCACGUGGACGCACAGGGAUGCGCGGCGAGCAUUUGUCAUCGUGACGUUUAUGGGCGCCGUCCCCCGCUAUUGUCUUCAUAAAUCGCCCUCUCCCUUGCUGUGAGUCUCACGUAUCCACUGCUUCGGAUUAAAACCCUGCAGCAUCUGCGGGGAUGGGAGGCGACAGAGAACUAGCUGCGUGCUCAAGCGGCUACCCGACAGAAGUCCCCCUGAUUUCAAUGAAGACAAAUCCGCGGCGACAAGCGACUUUCGCCGACGGCUCAGGAAGCAAUUCAGAACUUCAGGCGACAUUUGAGAAACUGGUAAUCCCACGGCAGAGCGUUGGGUGGAAGGAAGCAAGCCGCAACGGCGCAACAAUAACAGUGGAGCAAGGUUUGUCAGCCCAACAUGACAUCAUGCUCGGCGAGCUGGUCGACGGUCUUCAAUUUACCUGAAGUGCAACGGCGUGCUUCUCAGAGACUUCACGUGUGCAUGUGACGUACUUCACUUGAAUCAUCUUGAUGGUGGUUUUGGGCAGCCUUAUGCAUUCGUAUGUGCAAGAAAAUUAUUCGCUCAUGCGAUGGCAUUUACCGGAUCACCGUCUCGAAUUCUUACUAGAUUUUUUUUGCUAAAUACUGCGCACCGUGGCGCAUCCGUACUUUUCAGCCGGCGUGUCUAAGAUAUAAAAUAAAGCUUUUUGUGUGCGUGUGUGGAAUUGUUCAUCUGCAUACUUUUGCUCAACGCUGUACAUUUGUGCAUGCUUGAUCAACACUUACCUUAU